rnacentral:lncRNA from 1 species
GUCUUGAAGUAAUAUCAUAGUGAUUAUCAUCUAUGGUAAUUUGUUGUAUUCUUAUUUUUCAUUUUUGCUGAUGUGCUUUUGUAUGAGUUGUCUUCUUGCCAUUUUGUUUAUACUUGUUAACAUAGUUUUUUGUUUACAGUAAUUGAAAACAUAACACAAUGCUGACUCACACAUUGUUGUCAAUAUAAUGAAACUCUAUGCG